AAACCGUUCAGGGGUAAACCUAAGAAACCCAAAAGAUCGAACGGGGAGAUUCAUCGUCAGCGGCGCUGGCUUCGCGUCGGUGGGCGAUGUCCCGCGGUGCCGUUCCCUCGGCUCUCGCGCGGGCACGCUACCGUGCGCCGAUGUCUGGCGUCCGUCGUCGUGCACUUCUCCCCUAGUAGAACGUCGCGACCCGCUGGGUGUCGGUCUACGGCCCGGGUGCGGUGACUGUCGCGUCGCCGGUAAAACGGCACGCGGCAAACUCCCGGUCGCCCGGCCGGCUGCCCGGCGGUACACGCAACGGUAUCAGGCCGCGCCUCGCGCGCGUCGAGUCCGCCGCAAGCGAGCGCCACGGUACCCGGAGGUACGGACCUAGCGCCGUCCCCGGUCCUGGCCCGCUGUUAGCCGGCGCGUUACCUUCGACGGGCCUCACCCCUCCUCCGGGGGGGGAUUACCGGUCGGCGACGCUACUGCUUUGGGUACUCUUAGGA
rnacentral:rRNA from 1 species